UUCUGUUCUUUUUUUUUUCUUUUUUUUCCCGAAAAAAAUAACCCCCCUUUUAUGGUAUGGUUUUUUCUUUUUUAUUUCUACCCUUUUGCUUGUUUCCCAUGCUAUUUGCAGGUAGUGGGUGAAGAAGGAGUAGCCACCCAUGCUGGUGGCCUAAAAAUCUGGGGAGUGGGUGCCCCAAAUCACGUAAUCUGUCAGAAGGACCAAAUCACAAAUACAGUAAAACUUCCAGGGCUA
rnacentral:lncRNA from 1 species